GAUGAACGCUGGCGGCGUGCUUAACACAUGCAAGUCGAACGAAGCAUUUAAGACAGAUUACUUCGGUUUGAGGUCUUUUAUGACUGAGUGGCGGACGGGUGAGUAACGCGUGGGUAACCUGCCUCAUACAGGGGGAUAGCAGCUGGAAACGGCUGGUAAUACCGCAUAAGCGCACAGUACCACAUGGUACAGUGUGAAAAACUCCGGUGGUAUGAGAUGGACCCGCGUCUGAUUAGCUUGUUGGCGGGGUAACGGCCCACCAAGGCGACGAUCAGUAGCCGACCUGAGAGGGUGACCGGCCACAUUGGGACUGAGACACGGCCCAGACUCCUACGGGAGACAGCAGUGGGGAAUAUUGCACAAUGGAGGAAACUCUGAUGCAGCGACGCCGCGUGAGUGAAGAAGUAGUUCGCUAUGUAAAGCUCUAUCAGCAGGGAAGAUAGUGACGGUACCUGACGAAGAAGCUCCGGCUAAAUACGUG
rnacentral:rRNA from 1 species